CCAGACUCCUACGGGAGGCAGCAGUGAGGAAUAUUGGUCAAUGGGCGCAAGCCUGAACCAGCCAAGUAGCGUGCAGGAAGACGGCCCUAUGGGUUGUAAACUGCUUUUAUACGAGAAUAAUUUGAUGCACGUGUGCGUUAUUGCAUGUAUCGUAUGAAUAAGGACCGGCUAAUUCCGUGCCAGCAGCCGCGGUAAUACGGAAGGUCCAGGCGUUAUCCGGAUUUAUUGGGUUUAAAGGGAGUGUAGGCGGUUUGUUAAGCGUGUUGUGAAAUUUAGAUGCUCAACAUUUAACUUGCAGCGCGAACUGGCGAACUUGAGUGCACACAACGUAUGCGGAAUUCAUGGUGUAGCGGUGAAAUGCUUAGAUAUCAUGAAGAACUCCGAUUGCGAAGGCAGCAUACGGGAGUGUAACUGACGCUUAAGCUCGAAGGUGCGGGUAUCGAACAGGAUUAGAUACCCUGGUAGUCCGCACAGUAAACGAUGGAUGCCCGCUGUUAGCGCCUGGCGUUAGCGGCUAAGCGAAAGCAUUAAGCAUCCCACCUGGGGAGUACGCCGGCAACGGUGAAACUCAAAGGAAUUGACGGGGGCCCGCACAAG
rnacentral:rRNA from 1 species